rnacentral:lncRNA from 1 species
UGAAUAAGCAAAUAAAGAAGAGCAGAAAAGAACCAUGGCAAGUGUGAAUCAUACCUUCAUUUUUUUUUAUAUCUAUGCAAUUUUAUACAGACCAAAGGAAGAGAGAAAACCCAAUUUUUUUAAGAGAAAGAGGGAAAAAAUGUGCAGAUGCAGAGAGUGGUGAAGAGGGUAUCUAACACGGAAGAGAAAUAACGGAUCUGAGAGUUGGAAGGGGGGUGGGAACGGAUCUGGAGAGGAUGGAAACGGAUAUGAGAGUUGGAGAGGUGGGAAUGUGGAAAGAGAGAAAAAGAGAAAGUGACACUUGCAAGGGGUGGUAGGACUGCACAGUAAAAAUAGAUGAGUAAAUAUGGUUAAAAAGUUAAAAAAGUUAAUUUUGUAAUUAAAAAAAUUUUAUACAGACUUGGGGAAGUGGAGGAAGCAAAGGUGGAGGUGGAGGGAGCAACACCCAUAUUCUUUUUUUUUAUUAAUACGGUAUCAUAAAUAUUACAUUUAAUACAUAUUCUAUCAUAUUAAAUAUAAUAUAUAAUUAUCAUAAAUGUAACAUUUAAUAUAAGAUUAAUUAUAUUUUUUCUUCAUUUACUAUUAUGUGUUUGGCUUAAACCCUCCCUUGGUCCUAAUAUUUGUGCGAAAAUCUCAGUUCAGUCCUCAAGUUU